AUGAGAUGGAAACCAAUGUAAUUGAGACGAAAAGGGAGUACAACUCGAAAUAUCAAGGAAAUACAAGAAAGGCCUUUGUGAUCAGCAGAUGAUGUCCUAUACAACCAUCCUUCCAUGACACAUGCAAUGGGAAGUUUAUUUCAGGAAACAAAGCCUGUCUGAAACUCCAAAAUGACACUUCCAGAAAGCUGAAGAAUGGAUAAAAAUGUAUCUACCAUCUUACAACCCAGAUUUCAUUCCACUGAAAAGAAAAGGGACAGGAAAUUUUGCAUGUCCAUGUCUUGGAAGGUGAAUAGGUGGAAAGUCAAUAGAUGCUUACCAGAUCAGAUGCUUGCAGAGAAUGGAGAAACUUGAAUGAAAUCAAGAUGGUAGCAAUAGAACAGAGUUGAUUGGAGAGAGUCUCGGUCCUAUGUGUUUUGGCAUGGAGAGAACUAAGUUAAAUGUCUAGAUUGUUGGAGAUAGGAUGACCAGGAAUAUGAAUGGAUGUGAUGGAAACUGUACUAAGACCCUUAUGUAUUUGGAUAGAUUUACAUACCAUCAUGAUUUUGCUAUGAAAAACUUGAAAAAAAUCCUCAACUCAUAUUGUAGCUGACAUUGUACAUUUGUACUUAUUAAUAUUUCAAAUGAACAUGUUUUUAGACAUACAAUAUCUAAACUUUGGAGUCCAUGUACAUCUCCACAUUGGAUAAUAGGUUAUGAUAUAUGUGUGUGAAAUCUUUUCCUAUGGUAUGCACAUGUUAACACAUUAGUUUAAGUGAUGAUGUAUAUCUUAUGACUAUGGAAGAGAAUGUGUUCAGAACAGAAUAUGCGUCUAGAAGAGUUGUUGCCCUUGAAUGUAAUUUAUUAUUUACAUGGAGUUGAAAAAUAAUCCAGCACACAGUAGUACUAAAUGCAUUAUGUAAAAAUACAUUUAUGAAUGGUAUAAAUGAUACUGUCAAUUACUGAUUAAUACACUUUGUGAAAUCAUAUUAUUGUUAUGUUUAAUAAAUUUCAAGGCUGCACCUUUGUACAUUUUACAAUAUAAUAUUCU